CGCGCUAAACUCGGUUGGAAUGAAUGGAUCCUUACAUGGUUACUGGCGCAAAUGUCGAGCAAAGUUUGAUAGAAGUGAACGUAGAAAGAUAGAUGGUGUCAUGAUCUAUUUUUGGUGGAACGUCUGGAAGGAACGCAAUAGAAGAACUUUCCAACAAAAACACCUGCAACCGAUCCAAGUAGCCCAGCUGUGCAAGGAUGAAAUUCAACAAUACCAAAUGGCAACAAGACCUAGCACUAUGGUUGAGUAGGUGUUUAUACUAGUGCAAUACAGUGGUUUGGAACCGGUUACUUUUUUUUUCCUUUUGUUAGUCUUUUGGUUUUUGGCAUGUGUGCCAUAGUAGUUUAAAGUCAAGUUGCUAUGUAAGUUGUUGUAAAUAUUUUCUGUUUUUCUUUUUUCUCGUCUAAUAAAAAUACGGCAAAGCUCUUGCCGCCUUUCAAAAAUAAUAAGCAUUUGAAGAUCCAAGACAAACCAGUCAAAGCCGUAGAUUACUCUUUCUUUUGGUCCUAUUCUACAUAACACACGCCAUCAUAGUAAGCAACACACCAACAACCAUGAUGGAUUAGUAUUUUUAUUUUUAUCUUAUUUGUUUUGUGUAUUCGCUAUGCUCGUAUAGUGCUAGGGCCUAGCAUUAUAAAUUUAUAGUUCAAUGUACUUAUCUAAAUAUAUUAGAUGUUGCCUAAGAAGCAUUUGUUGAGUACUGAAAAAAGAAAAGAAAAACAAGAAGAACAAAGUAUUGUUAUAUUUUAUGAAUUAUACAUAUAUCGCAAAGUAAUUUUUAUUAUCCGUACUAUAUACAAUAAUUUUGAUAUAAAAAUUAGUUGAACGAGCCAUUGUCUUUUUACUUGCCCAAGAGCCCUUAAAAUUAUAGAGCCGGCCCUGCACUUAUCAUUACAUGCGCUAUUUAUCCUAAGUAGAGUUGGAACGAUGCAGAGUUUGCAGAUAUCCUA
rnacentral:lncRNA from 1 species